GACAGAGGGUGCAAACGUUGUUCGGAAUUACUGGGCGUAAAGCGUGCGCAGGCGGCCUUGCAAGUCGGGCGUGAAAUCCCACGGCUCAACCGUGGAACUGCUCGGUAUACUGGCGAUCUUGAGCCACUUAGGGGCUACCGGAACAAAUGGUGGAGCGGUGAAAAGCGUAGAUAUCAUUUGGAACGCCAAUGGUGAAAACAGGUAGCUGGGAGUGUGCUGACACUGAGACACGAAAGCCAGGGGAGCGAACGGG
rnacentral:rRNA from 1 species